GGCCGGUUAGCUCAGUGGGUUGAGCACGGUGCUGACAACAAUGACAACACUUAGGUCGCAGGUUCGAUUCCCGCUCAGUCCU
rnacentral:tRNA from 1 species